rnacentral:snoRNA from 1 species
AAUGAUGAAAUCUAAACUGAAAAUAGCUGGAAUUACCGGCAGAUUGUUUGGUGGUGACUCUCGGUUUUCUGAA